CCUCUAUUAAGCGGCCCUCCAUUAAGCGGCCACCUUCUAUUAUUGAACGGCCACAUAUCGAAGUCCCGAAAUUUUUGUAAUAAAAAUAUUAUAAACUAUCCCUCUAUUAAACGGCCACCUCUAUUAAGCGGCCGAGGCCACCCAAAGAGCGGUCCCAAAUGAUGUUUUAUGUCAAUUUUUACCUCUAUAAGCGGCCAGCCUGCAGGAUUUUUAGGUUUAGAUAUAGGUAAUGAGAACCGUAUUGGUGUCCUAGUAAUACAUUUUUGCCACAAUAGUCCCUAAAUGUUUAGUGUGAAAUAUGAUAGUGUGAUGGUCUCGUGUUGUUGGCACAAUAUAUGCCGGUGAAAAAAAUGUAAUAGUAGAUGAAACUGAGAAUUAAUUAAAGAUAAAAUCACUGUAUUCUGUGAUUUAUAAUUAAAAAUAGAUAUUUGACUACGCCCAGC